rnacentral:misc_RNA from 1 species
UGGUUCUGGCAUCGAUGAAGAACGCAGCGAAAUGCGAUAAGUAAUGUGAAUUGCAGAAUUCAGUGAAUCAUCGAAUCUUUGAACGCAUAUUGCGCCCUCUGGCAUUCCGGGGGGCAUGCCUGUCCGAGCGUCAUUGCAAAAUUCAAGCUCUGCUUGGUGUUGGGUGCCGUCCCUCGGGGCGCACCUGGAAAUUAGCGGCGGUGUGACCGGUGAUCAAGCGUAGUAGUUACUUCCGCUUAGAGACACUCCGGGCGUGCUAGCCGGGCAACCUCAUACUCCUUCCACGGUUGACCUCGGAUCAGGUAGGGAUACCCGCUGA